rnacentral:rRNA from 1 species
AGCGGAGGAAAAGAAACCAACAGGGAUUGCCCUAGUAACGGCGAGUGAAGCGGCAACAGCUCAAAUUUGAAAUCUGGCCCCCUGCGGGGUCCGAGUUGUAAUUUGCAGAGGGUGCUUUGGCGUUGGCGCCAGCCUAAGUUCCUUGGAACAGGACGUCACAGAGGGUGAGAAUCCCGUACGUGGCCGGCUGCCUUCGCCGUGUAAAGCCCCUUCGACGAGUCGAGUUGUUUGGGAAUGCAGCUCUAAAUGGGAGGUAAAUUCCUUCUAAAGCUAAAUACUGGCCAGAGACCGAUAGCGCACAAGUAGAGUGAUCGAAAGAUGAAAAGCACUUUGGAAAGAGAGUCAAAAAGCACGUGAAAUUGUUGAAAGGGAAGCGCUUGCAGCCAGACUUGCCUGUAGUUGCUCAUCCGGGCCCCGGCCCGGUGCACUCUUCUGCGGGCAGGCCAGCAUCAGUUUGGGCGGCCGGACAAAGGCCCCGGGAACGUAGCUCUCUCCGGGGAGUGUUAUAGCCCGGGGCGGAAUGCGGCCAGCCCGGACUGAGGUCCGCGCAUCUGCUAGGAUGCUGGCGUAAUGGCUGUAAGCGGCCCGUCUUGAAACACGGACCAAGGAGUCUAACAUCUAUGCGAGUGUUUGGGUGUCAAGCCCGGGCGCGCAAUGAAAGUGAACGCAGGUGGGACACCUCCCCCCGGGGGGGCUGCACCAUCGACCGAUCCUGAUGUCUUCGGAUGGAUUUGAGUAAGAGCAUAGCUGUUGGGACCCGAAAGAUGGUGAACUAUGCCUGAAUAGGGUGAAGCCAGAGGAAACUCUGGUGGAGGCUCGCAGCGGUUCUGACGUGCAAAUCGAUCGUCAAAUUUGGGCAUAGGGGCGAAAGACUAAUCGAACUAUCUAGUAGCUGGUUCCUGC